rnacentral:rRNA from 1 species
UUUAAAUUGAGAGUUUGAUCCUGGCUCAGGACGAACGCUGGCGGCGUGCUUAACACAUGCAA